CGCAAAGCGAAGAGCAGUGCGAGCCAGGCUGGGGGCGAAAAACAGGGCGCAGAACGAGCUCUUUGGAGAGAAGUGGGGCGGUUUUGAAGAUGAAUCUGAAAUCAAUUUGAAUGAAUGCCGGGAAGUAACCAUGGAAAAUGUGCAGCAGCCUGUAGAGGGGGAAAGUAUGGAUGCUCUGGGGAAGUUUGUUCGGAAGGGUAAGCAAAAUUUAUACUAGAUUACCAGACUCAACAAAAUGUUGACGACACAAAGGGUCAGCGUAAUAUAAGCCUUACGUCUUUCUUCCCUGACUGUAAUCUGUUUCUCCUCUCCUCUACUGCAACAAGAGUGUCACUCCGACCAAGAUAAUCCCCCACAGUGGGAAUUGGAAUGGAAGGGACCAGUGUUCUUGGCUCUAGUUUUAGUGCUGGAGUAGCUACUCUUUUCUCCCCUGGUCUACCUUGGCAAGGUCAGUGCCCAGACUGGACUGAGGUCUCUGCGCCUGGUGGCUGACCUGUUGGACAGGCUCAGAGUCUCCCUCCCGACCAGGCUCAGUACUGCAGCAAGCAGCGUGGUAGCUGGAAUACCAGAACGUGGGGUUUUCCCGGAUCUUCGGAUAUCUCCAAAGUGUGUAAUUAGAGGACAGGGACACCUGCUGACCUUUGAUGGUCUUACUAAUUUAGUUUUUGC
ensembl:lncRNA